AGAACGAACGCUGGCGGCGCGCUUAACACAUGCAAGUCGAACGCUCCGGUUUCGGCCGGGGAGUGGCGGACGGGUGAGUAACGCGUGGGAACCUGCCUCUUGGUUCGGGAUAACCGCGGGAAACCGCGGCUAAUACCGAAUAUUCCCGUGAGGGGAAAGACUUGUCGCCGAGAGAUGGGCCCGCGUCGGAUUAGCUAGUCGGUGGGGUAACGGCUUACCGAGGCUACGAUCCGUAGCUGGUCUGAGAGGAUGGCCAGCCACACUGGGACUGAGACACGGCCCAGACUCCUACGGGAGGCAGCAGUGGGGAAUAUUGCACAAUGGGCGAAAGCCUGAUGCAGCGACGCCGCGUGAGGGAUGAAGGCCUUCGGGUCGUAAACCUCUUUCGUCAUCGACGAAGCCCGUUCGGGUGACGGUAGGUGGAGAAGAAGCACCGGCCAACUACGUGCCAGCACGCCGC
rnacentral:rRNA from 1 species